rnacentral:rRNA from 1 species
AUUGAACGCUGGCGGCAUGCCUUACACAUGCAAGUCGAACGGCAGCACGGGAGCUUGCUCCUGGUGGCGAGUGGCGAACGGGUGAGUAAUAUAUCGGAACGUACCCUAGAGUGGGGAUAACGCAGCGAAAGUUGCGCUAAUACCGCAUACGAUCUACGGAUGAAAGUGGGGGAUCGCAAGACCUCAUGCUCAUGGAGCGGCCGAUAUCUGAUUAGCUAGUUGGUGGGGUAAAGGCCUACCAAGGCUUCGAUCAGUAGCUGGUCUGAGAGGACGACCAGCCACACUGGAACUGAGACACAGUUCCAGACUCCUACGGGAGGGCAGCAGUGGGGAAUUUUGGACAAUGGGCGGAAAGGACCUGAUCCAGCAAU